UGGGAGUUGAAUUUAGGCAAUAGGUUCGCCAAUCCGGUCAGAACUGAAAAGAAGCAGCCGUAACGUUUUCUAUUGGGUUAAAUUUCAACUCCUUUUA
rnacentral:SRP_RNA from 2 species